UGGGGAAUAUUGCACAAUGGGCGAAAGCCUGAUGCAGCGACGCCGCGUGAGGGAUGAAGGCCUUCGGGUUGUAAACCUCUUUCAGCAGGGAAGAAGCGCAAGUGACGGUACCUGCAGAAGAAGCGCCGGCUAACUACGUGCCAGCAGCCGCGGUAAUACGUAGGGCGCAAGCGUUGUCCGGAAUUAUUGGGCGUAAAGAGCUCGUAGGCGGUUUGUCGCGUCUGGUGUGAAAACUCGAGGCUCAACCUCGAGCUUGCAUCGGGUACGGGUAGACUAGAGUGCGGUAGGGGAGACUGGAAUUCCUGGUGUAGCGGUGGAAUGCGCAGAUAUCAGGAGGAACACCGAUGGCGAAGGCAGGUCUCUGGGCCGCAACUGACGCUGAGGAGCGAAAGCAUGGGGAGCGAACA
rnacentral:rRNA from 1 species